rnacentral:lncRNA from 1 species
UGAAACUUUGCAAGAUGUUUAUUUAGUCAAUUAUCUAUUAGUUUAUCAUAAAAAAUUGGAAGGAAAUGCAUUGCAUGAUGGAUUUAACAUUAUCAAGUUGAUUAUAUAGCGAGCUGACAAACAUUGUGAGUAUAGAAAAUAUGUAGUAAUUAAUGAAAGAAGUUUAAACACACCAUAAUCAUUUAUAUAUAAUGAAUUAUGUACCAUUCAAACAACGAGGAGUGUGCCAAUGCUCUUAAUCAGGUUGGAUAGACCUGAAGUCGUUGCUAGAGAUGUGAUUUAGGUAUAAAGUUACUUAGCAUUGUAUCGCAUUCAUCCAAACAACUAACUUUCUCAUGUUCGUACCUAAUCACAUGUUCAAUUGAUUUUGGUCAAAUGUUUAGGAAACAUGAUUCAAUUAACUCAUAUUCGAGGACAAAAAAUCAUUAGUGUGAACAUAGAAAAGAAGAAAUUCUUGGAUAGUUGGACUAUCAAAACUUGUUUACCAAGUAAAUGGCAAGAGAAAGGUUAUAUAAAGUUUCGAACAAGCAAUCCUAAGAUUUUAUUCUUCGUCAUAAUUAUAAGCCACUUUGUGAAACCCCACCCCAAAAGAUUUUGUAAAUUCGCAUUUUUCCCCCCAAAAGGUUUAUUAAAUUUUGCAUUUUAGUCCCCUAUCUUCAUCCAAUCAAAAUCUCAUUUUCAGAUUUUCUAAACCUGUCCUCCUAUCAUUGCUUGCCACGUG